rnacentral:piRNA from 1 species
UGCUAACUCUUAGUGUUUUGAUCUGG